rnacentral:lncRNA from 1 species
GAAGCUCCGCUCCUACGGACCGCCGUCGCACCACCAAGAGCAGCAGCAAUUGAAAAUGACGGAGUUUAUCAUAUCUGAGCUGUGGACUUGGAAUUGCUUAGCACAUCAGGUUUGUAGAUAUAAUUUCAGUCUCUUUUUAUCUCCACCCCAUUUUUGGGUGUAAAUUUAGGUAUUUGCUGAGAGUGGUAUAGAUGGAAUUGAAAGAGAUAAAGCCGUUUUUAGCAAUGAUGUUAUGAUAAACUGUAGAGGAACUAACAAGAAGCGGA